ensembl:lncRNA
NNNNNNNNNNNNNNNNNNNNNNNNNNNNNNUGGGGGGGAUCCAGUCCCUCCCCCAGGUGGGUUUGGGGGGUUCCAGAUCCCCGGGGGGGGGGAUCCGGUCCUGAUUUGGCAUUUUUGGGGGUCCAGAUCCCACGGGGGGGCCUGGGGGGAUCCAGUUCCUCCUCCAGGCGUUUUUGGGGGGGUCCAGAUCCCACCUGGGGGUUCCAGAUCCCACCUGGGGGGUUCCAGAUCCCACCUGGGGGGGUCCAGAUCCCACCUGGGGGGUCCAGAUCCCACCUGGGGGGUUCCAGAUCCCACCUGGGGGGUCCAGAUCCCCUCCCCCAAAGGGAUCCGGUCCUGCUCCGGCAUUUUUGGGGGUCCAGAUCCCACUGGGAUCCCUGGGGGGAUCCAGUCCCUCCUCCAGGUGUUUUUUGGGGGGUCCAGAUCCCACCUGGGGGGGUCCAGAUCCCACCUGGGGGUUCCAGAUCCCACCUGGGGGUUCCAGAUCCCACCUGGGGGCUUCAGAUCCCACCUGGGGGGGUCCAGAUCCCACCUGGGGGUUCCAGAUCCCACCUGGGGGCUCCAGAUCCCACCUGCGGGUUCCAGAUCCCACCUGGGGGCUUCAGAUCCCCUCCCCCAAAGGGAUCCGGUCCCGCCCCGGCAUUUUUGGGGAUCCAGUCCCUCCCCCAGGUGGGUUUGGGGGUCCAGAUCCCACCUGGGGGGUUCCAGAUCCCCUCCCCCAAAGGGAUCCGGUCCUGACUGGGCAUUUUUGGGGAUCCAGAUCCCACUGGGAUCCCUGGGGGGAUCCAGUUCCUCCUCCAGGCGUUUUUUGGGGGGGUCCAGAUCCCACCUGGGGGGUCCAGAUCCCACCUGGGGGUUCCAGAUCCCCCCCCCCCCCAAAAGGGAUCCAGUCCCGCUCCGGCAUUUUUGGGGAUCCAGUCCCUGCUCCAGGUGUUUCGGGGGGGCUCUGGGGGGGGUCCAGAUCCCACCUGGGGGCUCCAGAUCCCACCUGGGGGGCUUCAGAUCCCCCCCCCAAAAAGGGAUCCGGUCCUGAUUUGGCAUUUUUGGGGGUCCAGAUCCCACCGGGAUCCCUGGGGGGAUCCAGUUCCUCCUCCAGGCGUUUUUUGGGGGGUCCAGAUCCCACCUGGGGGUUCCAGAUCCCCCCCCGCAAAGGGAUCCGGUCCUGCUCCGGCAUUUUUGGGGGUCCAGAUCCCACUGGGAUCCCUGGGGGGAUCCAGUUCCUCCCCCAGGCAUUUUUGGGGGGUCCAGAUCCCACCUGGGAGGUUCCAGAUCCCACCUGGGGGGGUCCAGAUCCCACCUGGGGGGUCCAGAUCCCCCCCCAAAGGGAUCCAGUCCCGCUCCAGCAUUUUUGGGGAUCCAGUCCCUGCUCCAGGUGUUUCUGGGGGGCUCUGGGGGGUUCCAGAUCCCACCUGGGGGGUUCCAGAUCCCCUCCCCCAAAGGGAUCCGGUCCUGAUUUGGCAUUUUUGGGGAUCCAGAUCCCACUGGGAUCCCUGGGGGGAUCCAGUUCCUCCUCCAGGUGUUUUUUGGGGGGUUCCAGAUCCCACCUGGGGGGCUCCAGAUCCCAUCUGGGGGUUCCAGAUCCCACCUGGGGGGUCCAGAUCCACUCCCCCAAAGGGAUCCGGUCCCGCUCCGGCAUUUUUGGGGAUCCAGUCCCUCCCCCAGGUGGGUUUGGGGGUCCAGAUCCCACCUGGGGGGUCCAGAUCCCCUCCCCCAAAGGGAUCCGGUCCCGCUCCGGCAUUUUUGGGGAUCCAGUCCCUGCUCCAGGUGUUUCUGGGGGGCUCUGGGGGGGGUCCAGAUUCCCCCCCCCCCAAAGGGAUCCGGUCCUGAUUUGGCAUUUUUGGGGGUCCAGAUCCCACUGGGAUCCCUGGGGGGAUCCAGUUCCUCCCCCAGGUGUUUUUGGGGGGCUCCAGAUCCCACCUGGGGGGGUCCAGAUCCCACCUGGGGGUUCCAGAUCCCACCUGGGGGCUCCAGAUCCCACCUGGGGGUUCCAGAUCCCACCUGGGGGCUUCAGAUCCCCUCCCCCAAAGGGAUCCGGUCCCGCCUCGGCAUUUUUGGGGAUCCAGUCCCUCCCCCAGGUGGGUUUGG